GGGCUACAAUAGAUUUCUGCCGUGUGCAAUCAAUUAUUUCCAAACUUCCAUUCCUUGUGUUGGGUCUUGAUGCUGCACAUUGUCAGUGUCAUUAACGGUCUGUACAUAACACUGCUAGGAUAGAUGGGGGAAAAGAACCCUUUGAGGGGGCAUCAUCCCAUUCAUCAGCAAGAUAUGGGCCUUGAGUUGAGGAUGAUAACUUUCAUUGAGCCUUCUGCCUCGUUGGCUGUGAAAUUCAAGGAAUGGAUCUUAGACGGGUCUUGGAGGAUGAUUUU
rnacentral:misc_RNA from 1 species